rnacentral:rRNA from 1 species
CCUACGGGAGGCAGCAGUGGGGAAUAUUGGACAAUGGGCGAAAGCCUGAUCCAGCAAUACCGCGUGUGUGAAGAAGGCCUUCGGGUUGUAAAGCACUUUAAGCAGGGAAGAAAAAAUUCAAGCUAACAUCUUGAGUCUUGACGGUACCUGAAGAAUAAGCACCGGCUAACUCUGUGCCAGCAGCCGCGGUAAUACAGAGGGUGCAAGCGUUAAUCGGAUUUACUGGGCGUAAAGCGUGUGUAGGUGGUUGGGAAAGUCAAUUGUGAAAGCCCCGGGCUCAACUCGGGAACUGCUUUUGAUACUGUCUGACUAGAAUUCGGUAGAGGGAGGCGGAACUCCAGGUGUAGCGGUGAAAUGCGUAGAUAUCUGGAAGAACACCAAUGGCGAAGGCAACCUCCUGGGCCUGAAUUGACACUGAGACACGAAAGCGUGGGGAUCAAACAGGAUUAGAUACCCUGGUAGUCCACGCCGUAAACGAUGACAACUUGACGUCGGUUUGCUCUGCGAAUCGGUGUCGUAGCUAACGCGAUAAGUUGUCCGCCUGGGGAGUACGGCCGCAAGGUUGAAACGUUCAAAUUGAAUUGAGG